rnacentral:misc_RNA from 1 species
AAUAUGCCAAAAUUAAUGGCAAGGUAUUAGAUAUUCAUCAAAAGAAAUUUCAUUAAUUUUUAUCGUACCAAGCAAAUUGGUAAAUUGUGCUUCUAAUUCAACACUUACAUACAAUCAGACAAUCUCGUUAGAUGUGAAGCUAAGGGAACAAUUUGAAAUGGAAUUCAUAUUGUUGAUUCUUAUUUCUGGCUUAAGGAAUAUAUAUGGGCCCUUUUCUAAUCUUAAUAAAUUUUGUUUCUGUCUUAGAAAAAUGAAACUAAAAAUCUUGUUUUAAUGUGACUGGACUUAUGAAUGUUGCUUUUUUUUCCCAUACUUUUGUUUUUGGUGCAUUGCAGGGAUCCAAGUGCAAUGGCAUA